rnacentral:lncRNA from 1 species
GGAGCUUUGCCAGAAAGUGCUUGGAAAAGUGAGACACAGCCCCCACUUCUCAUUAAAACACUUCGCUGCCAUCAUCCUCUCAGCAAAACAUUAGGUACCUAGUGUUUGAUUUGAACUUUGUUGUCUGUUCUGCAUGAAAAUGCACAGUGCCUGUGGAUGCUACUUCAGGGCUGCUGGGUCAGAAAGUGGGUGUUUUAUGUGCUCUCUCUUUGCAAGGAAGAUGGAAAGACUUUGUCAAAGUGGUUUCCAAGGAGUAACCUGGCAUUUUAUUUUAUUUUAUUUUUUGUCUUUUUUUUUUUUUUUUUUUUUUUUUUUUUUUUUAGCUAUUUCUUGGGCCUCUCCCAAGGCAUAUGGAGGCCGGUGGCUACAGCUCUGAUUCGACGCCUAGACUGGGAACCUCCAUAUGCCUUGGACGCUCCCCAAGAAAUGGCAAAAAGACAAAAUAAAUAAAUAAAUAAAAAUAAAAUAAAAUAGAAUAAAAAGUGAGACGCAAGCCAGUGAAAGAGGGUCACACAUUUUCUUUGGCCAAACCAAAGAAAUAGGGUGAUUUUAUUGAGAGAGGCGGUCUGACCUAGGUGUUCAAGGGCAUAGUUCCAUGGUCCAACUGGCUGGGUGUGAAUCCCACCGCUGCUGCUUAUUUGUCGGAAGACAUUGUCUAAGUUACUCACCCUCUCCGUGCCUCUGUUUCCUCUUCAUCUCUGAAAAGGGUAUAAUAGAAUCUACUUUAUAGGAUCAGUAGGGAUAUACAUAUAUAUUGCUUCAGACAGUCCCUUCCUCCUGCUGAGUAUAAAAUAAUACUACACCAUUAUUAUUUCUAAAGUGCCAAACUUGAAAUUUGCAGACACCUCUGCAAUGGGCUCUAGGUUGUGAUACAACCCGUGCCUCUGCAAUGGCCCAGGUUGUAUCCCAGUGCCAUUGGCUUCCCUGUAGAUACAAGUUCUUAGGCAAGGGUGGGUGGUAAUCAGUUGAGUCCAUGCAGUCCUGUCCCCCAAACAAGACAGAGGCUGUGGACGUCAGCCUGACUCAUGCAUGCAGGGAGUCUGAGGCACUGUGCUCAGAGGACAGGCUCAGGCAGACGUGGGUACUAGGAGUAUCCUGCUAGCAGUCAGCAUCAUGGAAGAUGGCACAAGGCCAGGUAAUGCUGAAUCCUUGGUCCACUUUUGUCCAGAGCUCAAAAGAUAAGACAUGAUCCUAAUUUUCUUCAUCCUUUUGGUCCAAGGACUGAACAUGUCCUGCCUUCCUUUGAUGUGAUUCCAAAGUCUGGCUCAAACGGGAACCUCCCAGCAACAUCAGCCUCUCCCCUUCCUAGCUUACACCAGUUAGAGCCCAUUCUGGAACUGGAGUUGGAGUUCAUGCCACAGACAUUGAAAAUGCAAACAGGGAUAUUUCCCAAAGGAGACGUGGAGUACUGUUUUACCAAAAAAAUUGGAAGGGUGAGGUGAAAAAAACAGCAGAUGUCAUCUGUGCACAUAUGAGGGUGACGCUGAGAUAGUGGUGUUCUCCAGUUAGCACUGGCUCAGAAACCAGGUUUGCGGAAGAUUCAGGUCUGCGGGGAAGGCCGGUCCACAGUCCACCUUGGAGACCGAGACAGGCAGAGCCAGUGGAAAGGAAACAGACAUUGGAAAGAGAUAAUAUUCCCUGGGAGUCUGUUCUGUGCCAGGGUCCUCACUUUGUGGUCUCAUUUAAGCCUCCUCACACCAUGAAGUAGAACUGGGGGUUUCAAGUGGUUGGAGAUGAGGAUAAAGAUAAAUCUGGAGUCUCCCAGGGCAGACUGAGGAAGCAGGCCUCAUAGAGGGGAACAUGGGUGCCGAAGGGCCGGGGACAUGCAGGCAGGUUAAAAAGGGGCUGCUCGGGGUUCCAGCAACACAGUUUUCUUUAGAUGUGAAAUGAUGAAUCACUUCGUUGUUUGAAAGCAGUACAGCCAGCCAGCCAGCCACGCCACGAUCUGGAUCUUGCAACCCACCUAUCUUAUUUUUCAACCAGGAAAAUCCUUUUAAAGAGAUAGAUGUGAAUUCCCGGUGCCGUGUAUAUAUUUGUGCCACAUUUAAUUUCAUUAGCUAUAAUAUCACAUAGCUGCGCUGAUUUAACUGCUCUGACCAGAUGGUAAUGCCGUCUGAAGAAAAAUGGUUCCACGAUGUAAUUGAACAUGUCCUGUUGACAGAGUUACAAUGACCCAUUUUCCCAAUUAAAUAUAGGUGAUUCAGUAAAAUCAACACCGGGUCUAUUUCUCUGCCACCACGUCUAGCUCAGAACAGAAGGGAGGAAUCGUGCUCCAGGGCAGACGCGCUGCACGGGUGACAGGAGUAUAGCCUGGGGGCAGGAAUAAAGGCAGGCCUCCCCUCCCACUCUGGGCAGAAGAGAAGUGGCUGUUGAUACCUAGAUUUGGCCAGUGACCAAGGGGAGAGGCUUGGCUUUCUUAGUUACGACCCUUCUGAAAGUGAUGAUGAAAGUGGACGUGAACAUCAUGACAAGUAGCCGGUACAUUGUGAAACAUGUUGGCCUCUGAGUGGAACCAAGUGUAGCAGAAACAUGGGUGUUGACUCUGGGCAGAUGAGGGUGUUGGUUUUUAUGACUGUUUUCAAUCAAUACAAUUCAUAUAUCAGAACAAGCAUCUGAUGAAUCUGUCACUAAAAAUAUUUUUGCAUGUACUGAAAAAAAAAAAAAA